UGUGGUUUUAGUUUAGAAGAAUAUCUGCUUUGCAAGUAGGAGGUCUAGGUUGAAGUCUUAGAAACUACAG
rnacentral:tRNA from 1 species